AGUUCAAGUUUUCGGAAUUAUGUGUGUUUAGGUUAAAACUACCAGAAGAUAAACUUAAGAGUGAUUAUAUAUAAAAUAGAAGUUGUCGUAAUUCGUAAAUAUGUCAGAAACCCAAUAUAUAAAAUAUUUAACUACAAUCAAUGUUGUAACUAAUUAGUGAAUAAAAACAUAACAAACAAAAAAAGUAAAAAAAACCCAUUAGAGAAGGAACCGAGAGAAAGGAUCGAGGUUAGGGCCGUCGUUUGCUA